AUUGAACGCUGGCGGCAGGCCUAACACAUGCAAGUCGAACGAGUGGCGGACGGGUGAGUAAUGUCUGGGAACCUGCCUGAUGGCGGGGGAUAACUACUGGAAACGGUAGCUAAUACCGCAUACCAUCAGAUGUGCCCAGAUGGGAUUAGCUUGUUGGUGGGGUAACGGCUCACCAAGGCGACGAUCCCUAGCUGGUCUGAGAGGAUGACCAGCCAACCGGGAACUGAGACACGGUGAAAAGGCCGAGGGGAGGCAGCAGUGGGGAAUAGGGCACAAUUGGCGAAAGGCGGAAGCAGCCAUGCCGCGUGUAUGAAUAAGGCAUUCGGGUUGUAAAGUACUAUCAGCGGUGAGGCGUUACCCGCAGAAGAAGCACCGGCUAACUCCGUGCCAGCAGCCGCGGUAAUUC
rnacentral:rRNA from 1 species